UGGCAAUGAUGACGAACUUUAGUGAUUGAAUUUCGGUGAUUGUUUUGUACGCUAUUCUGAGCCAAUU